ACCCGCUGAAUUUAAGCAUAUAAGUAAGCGGAGGAUAAGAAACUAAAAAGGAUUCCCUUAGUAAUGGCGAAUGAACAGGGAUGAGCUCAAUAUGGAAAUUGUGGCUUCUGGCUUUGAAUUGUAAUCUCAAGAUGCAUUGCUAACUGGGGCGUAGGUGAAAGCCUCUUGGAAAAGAGAAUCAUUGAGGGUGAGAAUCCUGUUUGUCAUCUACAGUCCUCCGUGUACGGCAUGCGUUCUAAGAGUCACGUUCCUCGGGAUUGGAGCGCAAACUGGGUGGUAAAUUUCAUCUUAAGCUAAAUAAGGGUUCGAGACCGAUAGCAAACAAGUACCAUGAGGGAAAGAUGAAAAGGACUUUGAAAAGAGAGUUAAAAGUGCCUGAACUUGCUGAAAGGAAAGCGGAUGGAACCAGUGUUGCUUGGCGAGAUUGUUGCGUGCGAAAGUGAUUGCUUGCUGCAUCAGCGCAAGCGGUGCUGUGGGUUUUGAUCUGGCUGUGCGCGAUGCUUCUUGCCUCGUGUGUCAUCGUCAGUGUGCUGGUGAGGACAACUCUUGGGACAUGGUAGCCUGCCCCUGGGCGUGCGAAUGUGCCUUGCAGAACUCACUGUCAUAUUGCUCCUCCACAUGUGAGGUCGUGCUGCCUUUCUUUGGCACCUGUGUUGGCGUUUGUGCCUGGCCUAGGUGUCGUUUGCUGAGCACCUUCCUGACAUAGCCAUGGUGACUAAGUGGUUCUAUUCGACCCGUCUUGAAACACGGACCAAGGAGUCUAACAUGUGUGCGAGUUCUUGGGCGGCGAAACCUACGUGCGCAAUGAAAGUGAUUACUGAGAUGCUAGCAUCAGCAGCCGACCGAUCAAUUGGGAGAGGUUUGAGCAUGAGCAUAUCUGUUAGGACCCGAAAGAUGGUGAACUAUGCUUGUGAAGGGUGAAGUCUGGGGAAACUCAGAUGGAGGCUCGUAGCGAUACUGACGUGCAAAUCGUUCGUCAUACAUGGGUAUAGGGGCGAAAGACUAAUCGAACCAUCUAGUAGCUGGUUCCCUCCGAAAUUUCCCUCAGGAUAGCUGGAGUUGGACAGUUUUAUCAGGUAAAGCGAAUGAUUAGAGGAAUCGGGGGCGUGUUGCCCUCGACCUAUUCUCAAACUUUAAAUGGGUAAGCUCCAGUUGUUACUUCGUUGAACUUCUGGGAUAAAUUAGAACUCUAAGUGGGCCAUUUUUGGUAAGCAGAACUGGCGAUGAGGGAUGAACCUAACGUUGGGAUAAGGUGCUCAACUGCUCGCUCAUCAGAUACCAUAAAGGGUGUUGGUUCAUUUUAACAGCAGGACGGUGGUCAUGGAAGUCGAAAUCCGCUAAGGAGUGUGUAACAACUCACCUGCCGAAUGGGCUAGCCCCGAAAAUGGAUGGCGCUUAAGCGGGUGACCGAUACCCAACCAUUGCUGCAAUUGUGCUGCUGCAAUGAGUAGGAGGGCAUGGGGGCUUGUGGUGAAGCUUUUGGCGUAAGCCUGGGUGAAAUGGCUCCUAGUGCAGAUCUUGGUGGUAGUAGC
rnacentral:rRNA from 1 species